UAGGGGAGCCGAAGGGAAACCGAGUCUUAACUGGGCGUUAAGUUGCAGGGUAUAGACCCGAAACCCGGUGAUCUAGCCAUGGGCAGGUUGAAGGUUGGGUAACACUAACUGGAGGACCGAACCGACUAAUGUUGAAAAAUUAGCGGAUGACUUGUGGCUGGGGGUGAAAGGCCAAUCAAACCGGGAGAUAGCUGGUUCUCCCCGAAAGCUAUUUAGGUAGCGCCUCGUGAAUUCAUCUCCGGGGGUAGAGCACUGUUUCGGCAAGGGGGUCAUCCCGACUUACCAACCCGAUGCAAACUGCGAAUACCGGAGAAUGUUAUCACGGGAGACACACGGCGGGUGCUAACGUCCGUCGUGAAGAGGGAAACAACCCAGACCGCCAGCUAAGGUCCCAAAGUCAUGGUUAAG
rnacentral:rRNA from 1 species